rnacentral:ncRNA from 1 species
ACGGUGACGUUAUGAGUGAAGGAAGUGGCUAGCGAGUUCUCCGAGCCUACGAACAGAAACUUAGUCAGGCCAAAUGGUGGAUAAGACUGCAUAACAAGUCGAAGUCCAGAGGACAAACGUAAAACCAAGACGGUAAACUAAGAGGUUAUGGAAAACAAG